UGCGGGGUCGUCUAAUGGUAGGACAGCGCCCUUUGAAAGCGUUUAUCUUGGUUCGAAUCCAGGCCCCGCAG
rnacentral:tRNA from 1 species